CGUUGUUGGGAAAUGUUUGCAGUUUUGUUUUUGUUUGGGAGUUGUUUUGUGUGGUGGAGUGUAAUUGUUUGUUUGUUGUGUAGAGUUGAGAGUGUUAGAAUAUUUAGAGGUUCUGGCCAUUUCACUGAAGGAAAAAAGAAUUGUGUGAAGCGGUGGAGAAGGUGGCAUUCAGUCAUUAACGUGUCUUUUAGAGAUGGAAGGUCAACUCAUGUUGGCGGUGGCGAGAGGUGAUGUUGAGUCAGCAACGCGUCUUUUGGAUAUGCAAAUUGACAUCAAUGCACGUGGUGGUUACCUUGGGGUAUGUGUUGUGAGUUAUAAUGUGUGUAUUGGAUGUUGAAAUGAACUGCACGUCGUUUGGUCUCAAAAUAGAGCAUUCUUCUGAUACAAUCGUGUAGGAAGAAGAACAAAGAGAUGGUUGAGUUGCUGCUCACUAAAUCACCAGAUGUUAAUGGGACUGACUGGAAUGGAGACACAGCUUUGAUUGUAUU